UGAAGAUGAAUCCCCAGAUGAUGUAGAGUACCAGUCAGAGGAGGAUGGAGGCUGCCUGGUCCUGAAGCUGCCCACUGUAGAGGCGUACCAUCGUCUCCAGCUGACCGUCUGGGCCACAGCGGAGAUCCCUGACCUGGGGUUGGCUGGACAGGAGGGAGAUGCCACCAAUGUGGAACACAAGGUCUCCUUUAAGAGUCCACUAGUAAAAGAUGAACCUGAGACGACCUUCAUUUUCCACUAUCCAUUCCUGGCCAAGAACCAGCUACACACUGCAGGGGACAGUAAGUUUGUGCAUGUGGAGGUGGUUGGCCUGAGCAGUGCCAAGUUUGACCUACAGAACCCUGACCUCUCCAUCAGUGACCUGCAGGACAGUGACACGGCUGUGAGAUUGACACCGCUCCAUCAAGACAGCCCCAUGGU